AUGAUUAAGAACCUUUCGAUUAUCUCGUGGAACGUCCGUGGUCUUGGACGUCACAAAAAAUGCACCGACGUCAAAUCUGCCAUCUCCUCCUCCCCCUGCUCGGUUCUUUGUCUCCAAGAAACCAAGCUGCAGGAAAUUCCUCAUUUCAAAGCCAUUUCCUUUCUGCCGCCACACCUUAGAAAUUUCCACUCUAUUCCCUCCAUCGGUGCUUUCGGAGGUAUAGAUAUUUCUUGGGACGAUGAUCCCCUACUAUGCUCACGAACCCUUCGCGGCCCCUACUCCUUAACUUGCUGGUUCGAAGCAAGGGCGGAUGAACUCAUUUUUGCUAUCACAAAUGUUUACGGUCCAUGCGAUGCUUCUGCCAAACCCUCCUUCUUGCAGUCCUUGAUGGACUUGUUACCAGAUAUCUCUUGUCCUUGGGCCAUCAUUGGCGACUUCAAUCUCACCCUAAGGCCGGCGGAUAAAUCGUCUCCAAAUUUUAACAUACAUGAGGCAAACCUUUUUGCCUCCACAAUCAACUCUCUCCAGCUUCAGGAUCUUCCGCUCCUAGACAGGAGAUUCACUUGGUCAAAUCAGCAGGACGCGCCCGUCCUUGUGCGUCUCGAUCGGGCACCUGCUAACGUGGCUUGGGCGUCAAAAUUUCCGGACACCUCGCUCUCCUCGGUGACCAGAACCACCUCCGACCACAUCCCCAUUCUUUUAACGGCGGCAACCUCUAUCCCUAAAUCCUCUGUGUUUCGCCUAGAUCGCUCCCUGCUAGACAUUCCCCAAUUCAAAGACAAGGUUGCUGUUAACUGGAACAGCGUGGGUACCAGGCACCUGCACCUUGGAUCUGCUGGUCUCAUCUCCCUUAAGAUCAAGCGCACGAGAAAUAUGGCCAAAAAUGGGUUUCCAGUCGUAGAUCGCCCAAGAUUCUAG
rnacentral:rRNA from 1 species